rnacentral:rRNA from 1 species
UUAGUGGCGCACGGGUGCGUAACGCGUGGGAAUCUGCCCCUUGGUUCGGAAUAACAGUUGGAAACGACUGCUAAUACCGGAUGAUGACGUAAGUCCAAAGAUUUAUCGCCGAGGGAUGAGCCCGCGUAGGAUUAGGUAGUUGGUGUGGUAAAGGCGCACCAAGCCGACGAUCCUUAGCUGGUCUGAGAGGAUGAUCAGCCACACUGGGACUGAGACACGGCCCAGACUCCUACGGGAGGCAGCAGUGGGGAAUAUUGGACAAUGGGCGAAAGCCUGAUCCAGCAAUGCCGCGUGGGUGAUGAAGGCCUUAGGGUUGUAAAGCUCUUUUACCCGGGAUGAUAAUGACAGUACCGGGAGAAUAAGCUCCGGCUAACUCCGUGCCAGCAGCCGCGGUAAUACGGAGGGAGCUAGCGUUAUUCGGAAUUACUGGGCGUAAAGCGCACGUAGGCGGCUUUGUAAGUAAGAGGUGAAAGCCCAGAGCUCAACUCUGGAAUUGCCUUUUAGACUGCAUCGCUUGAAUCAUGGAGAGGUCAGUGGAAUUCCGAGUGUAGACGUGAAAUUCGUAGAUAUUCGGAAGA